GGCCCAACCAAAACCAAGACUCUCUCUCAGUCUCAAAUCUCAAUUCAUUAGUUCCACUUCUUCGUGAGAUUCAUACGCACAAACAGCAACGUUACUCCGCUAGGGUUCAUCAUUCUCUCAGUUCGUGGUUUCAUCGUUUAACGAAGAACCGUCGCCGUCCAUUAUUCAACCACAAAUCACCACCGAUAUUGAUUUUGUGAAGGUGUUGUCGGUAAAUAUUGUUCCUACUCAGCUCGCCGACAACUUCCGGAAUAAGAAGCCUGAGGUUUUACUCUUGGCCGUUAUAAACUUCAUGUUAUCUAUAGCUACUAAUAACUAGCUGUUCAAAUAAAAAGUGAUUUUUAAAAAGUGAUUUUUAAAGCUAUAACUACUGCUAUGAAGAAUCAUUAGUUACUGCUAUGAAGAAAUAAUCAUUUUCUUACACAAGUUUGAAAUCACUUUUUUCAAGCAUUAACAAAUAGGCUCUUUAUCAUGCUAGUCUUGCAUCUGACAGAAAUAAGUUUAAGUUGUUAUAGAGGAAUAUUUGUUUUUAGAAUUAGUUAUUUGUGAUUGGGGCAAGUAUUUUUGAACUACUGUUUUUGCAGCCUCAUUGUUUCUGUUUUAUUUUCUAUUUAUUUUGUACUUUCUUGAUAUUUCAAUAUGAUUAUAAAACUAUUUCAUUGUUCAGUUGUUUGGGUUGUGUGGCAUUAUUAGUUUUGAGUAAGCUAAGCUAUACUUGAUGGUUUGAGUUUUGUGGUAUGGUUCACAUUAGUUCUGGUUUUGUUUUGAAUAGCUUUUAUACUGAUUAUUAUGGCUUGUUUGAAUAUUAUGAGAAUGGUUGGACAUAUCAAGAUAUUACGAUGCUUAGGUGUUGGAUCAUAAGUCACACUUCAUUUUAAUAGUUGUUGCUUUUAAUCCUAGGAUUUAAACCUUUUAAUUAUAAAUUUGAAUUGAGGAAUUCAAUUUUUAUAUCUUCUCCGUUAGAGAAUUCUUACUUCCCCCAAUGUUGAAAACUUUGUUAGUUCAUGUAAAGUUUAUUAUUCUCUUUUCUCAUUUCAUCUAUUUGUAUAGAUAUAUAAAUAUAGAUGAUAUACUUAAAUUUU